AUGGUUUGGACCUUUUGUGGGCUGUGCAUCUAUUUGCACUAGGAAUACACAUACAACUUUAUGCUAUUGAAUUCUGCAACCGAUUUAUGCAUAGUCGAAAGUUUGUGUUUAAUCACUGCUGCAUUUUCAUGCUAAUUUAAAAUGUUACGUCUGCAAACUCUUGAGGGACUUCAGUUCUUUUGGCAUGCAUGAAGGAAAUAAUGAAUUACAGAAUCCCCAAUAACAACCACUUGUGGUGCAACCUGUCAAUAGUGUGCCACACAUUGGUUCACCUGCACCAGUCGGUGAUUACGACUAUUGCAAACUGAAGCUGAUGCCCAACCUGUUGAAAAAGU
rnacentral:misc_RNA from 1 species